rnacentral:rRNA from 1 species
UAGGGAAUCUUCCACAAUGGACGCAAGUCUGAUGGAGCAACGCCGCGUGAGUGAAGAAGGUCUUCGGAUCGUAAAGCUCUGUUGUUGGUGAAGAAGGAUAGAGGCAGUAACUGGUCUUUAUUUGACGGUAAUCAACCAGAAAGUCGCGGCUAACUACGUGCCAGCAGCCGCGGUAAUACGUAGGUGGCAAGCGUUGUCCGGAUUUAUUGGGCGUAAAGCGAGCGCAGGCGGAAUGAUAAGUCUGAUGUGAAAGCCCACGGCUCAACCGUGGAACUGCAUCGGAAACUGUCAUUCUUGAGUGCAGAAGAGGAGAGUGGAACUCCAUGUGUAGCGGUGGAAUGCGUAGAUAUAUGGAAGAACACCAGUGGCGAAGGCGGCUCUCUGGUCUGCAACUGACGCUGAGGCUCGAAAGCAUGGGUAGCGAACAGGAUUAGAUACCCUGGUAGUCCAUGCCGUAAACGAUGAGCGCUAGGUGUUGGGGACUUUCCGGUUCUCAGUGCCGCAGCAAACGCAUUAAGCGCUCCGCCUGGGGAGUACGNCCGCAAGGUUG